rnacentral:rRNA from 1 species
UACGGGGGGGGCAAGCGUUGUUCGGAAUUACUGGGCGUAAAGGGCUCGUAGGCGGCCAACUAAGUCAGACGUGAAAUCCCUCGGCUUAACCGGGGAACUGCGUCUGAUACUGGAUGGCUUGAAUCCGGGAGAGGGAUGCGGAAUUCCAGGUGUAGCGGUGAAAUGCGCAGAUAUCAGGAGGAACACCGGUGGCGAAGGCGGAUCUCUGGGCCAUUACUGACGCUGAGGAGCGAAAGCGUGGGGAGCGAACAGG